GUGGUAAUGCCGGAUGCUCCAGUUGACCGCAUGGUCCUCUGGGAAAGCUUUUGCGGUAUGGGAUGGGGUCGCGUCCUAUCAGCUUGAUGGCGGGGUAACGGCCCACCAUGGCUUCGACGGGUAGCCGGCCUGAGAGGGCGACCGGCCACAUUGGGACUGAGAUACGGCCCAGACUCCUACGGGAGGCAGCAGUGGGGAAUAUUGCACAAUGGGCGCAAGCCUGAUGCAGCGACGCCGCGUGCGGGAUGACGGCCUUCGGGUUGUAAACCGCUUUUGACUGGGAGCAAGCCCUUCGGGGUGAGUGUACCUUUCGAAUAAGCACCGGCUAACUACGUGCCAGCAGCCGCGGUAAUACGUAGGGUGCAAGCGUUAUCCGGAAUUAUUGGGCGUAAAGGGCUCGUAGGCGGUUCGUCGCGUCCGGUGUGAAAGUCCAUCGCUUAACGGUGGAUCCGCGCCGGGUACGGGCGGGCUUGAGUGCGGUAGGGGAGACUGGAAUUCCCGGUGUAACGGUGGAAUGUGUAGAUAUCGGAAAAAAAACA
rnacentral:rRNA from 1 species